rnacentral:rRNA from 1 species
AUUGAACGCUGGCGGCAGGCUUAACACAUGCAAGUCGAGCGGGGUGAUGGUGCUUGCACUAUCACUUAGCGGCGGACGGGUGAGUAAUGCUUAGGAAUCUGCCUAUUAGUGGGGGACAGCAUCUCGAAAGGGAUGCUAAUACCGCAUACGUCCUACGGGAGAAAGCAGGGGAUCACUUGUGACCUUGCGCUAAUAGAUGAGCCUAAGUCGGAUUAGCUAGUUGGUGGGGUAAAGGCCUACCAAGGCGACGAUCUGUAGCGGGUCUGAGAGGAUGACCGGCCACACUGGGACUGAGACACGGCCCAGACUCCUACGGGAGGCAGCAGUGGGGAAUAUUGGACAAUGGGGGGAACCCUGAUCCAGCCAUGCCGCGUGUGUGAAGAAGGCCUUAUGGUUGUAAAGCACUUUAAGCGAGGAGGAGGCUCUUUUGGUUAAUACCCAAGAUGAGUGGACGUUACUCGCAGAAUAAGCACCGGCUAACUCUGUGCCAGCCGCCGCCGUAA